rnacentral:tRNA from 1 species
AAUAGCGCGCCGGUGGACGGAUAUCAUUGAUGAUGAUAAAUACGGGAGCUAAUCCCCGCUAUUU